UUCAAUACUACCGUCAAGCGUAGUGUGCACUUUUCUCUCAGUAAGACACCGUGAUCCAUUAGAAAUUGAUGCGUGCUUUAUGCAGCGCAUAUUGGGUCAUCGCCAUAGGCCAAUAUGAAGUUUAUUCGGAACAAAUGGUGUGGUCCUUUAACGGCCGCUCGUAUUGUCUGGUAAGCAUAUUGUGUGUCCUGUAAUGACUGUCUGAUGGAUUUUAGAGAUCAUAUUACUGUGGUGCCAUUUGUUGUACCAACACACUCUCAUCAGUGUGCACGAAUAUGUAUCCGAUCGACGGUGUAUUAAAUUUGGGAUACCUUUUGGACCCGUCUUGAAACACGGACCAAGGAGUCUAUCUAGUAUGCGAGUAAAUGGGUAUUGUUUCAAUGAAACCUAUUUGCAUAAGAAACUUGACUGUUGUACAAUAUGGGAUUACGUUAUAUGUGUUCGUGUCAUUCGAACAUAUAUUUCCUCCAUCCCGGAGUAUUUUCAUUCAACAUAUGCCGGUCAAAAAGCAUAUGGAAAGUAUAUCAUGAGCACACUGGAUACGACCCGAAAGAUGGUGAACUAUGCCUGAUCAGGUUGAAGUCAGGGGAAACUCUGAUGGAGGACCGAAACAGUUCUGACGUGCAAAUCG
rnacentral:rRNA from 1 species